rnacentral:rRNA from 1 species
UGCCAGCCGCCGCGGUAAUACGGAGAGUGCAAGCGUUGUUCGGAAUCACUGGGCGUAAAGCGAGUGUAGGCGGUCCCGCAUGUCGGGUGUGAAAGCCCACGGCUCAACCGUGGUGGGUCACCCGAAACUGCGGGACUUGAGUUCGGGAGAGGGAAGCGGAAUUCCCGGUGUAGAAGUGAAAUUCGUAGAUAUCGGGAGGAACACCAGUGGCGAAGGCGGCUUCCUGGAUCGAUACUGACGCUGAGACUCGAAAGCGUGGGGAGCAAACAGGAUUAGAUACCCUGGUAGUCCACGCUGUCAACGGUGGGCACUAGGUGCAGUGGGUGUCUGACCCCCGCUGUGCCGAAGCUAACGCAUUAAGUGCCCCGCCUGGGGAGUACGGCCGCAAGGUUGAAACUCAAAUGAAUUGACGG